GACGAACGCUGGCGGCGUGCCUAAUACAUGCAAGUAGAACGCUGAAGAGAGGAGCUUGCUCUUCUUGGAUGAGUUGCGAACGGGUGAGUAACGCGUAGGUAACCUGCCUUGUAGCGGGGGAUAACUAUUGGAAACGAUAGCUAAUACCGCAUAACAAUGGAUGACACAUGUCAUUUAUUUGAAAGGGGCAAUUGCUCCACUACAAGAUGGACCUGCGUUGUAUUAGCUAGUAGGUGAGGUAAUGGCUCACCUAGGCGACGAUACAUAGCCGACCUGGGAGGGUGAUCGGCCACACUGGGACUGGGACACGGCCCAGACUCCUACGGGAGGCAGCAGGAGGGAAUCUUCGGCAAUGGGGGCAACCCUGACCGAGCAACGCCGCGGGAGUGAAGAAGGUUUUCGGAUCGUAAAGCUCUGUUGUAAGUCAAGAACGGGUGUGAGAGUGGAAAGUUCACACUGUGACGGUAGCUUACCAGAAAGGGACGGCUAACUACGUG
rnacentral:rRNA from 1 species